UCUUAAGGCUUCAACUCCUUGAGUUACCCCUUUGAUUCAAUGCAGGAGAAUUUGGAUUGGGUGCAUGUUAUGGCUUAUGAUUACUAUCUUCCUAGGAGGGACAAUGUUACAGGUUUUCAUGCAGCUUUGUAUGGUUCAUCAGGUUGGGACAACACUGAUUCUGGCAUCAAGGAGUAGAGGAGGUUUUCUUCUAAGAAGCUGUUAAUUGGGUUGCCUUAUCAUGGAUAUGCGUGGACACUUGUGACACCUGGAGCAAACAGUGGCGUGGGAGCACCACCAUCGGGACCUGCCAUUACAAGGAUGGUUCCAUGGCUUAUAGCUUGAUAAAGAGCUACCUUAGAAGCCAGAGAAACGGAGUUGUUUCGCAUUACAAUGCUAGUUUUGUGGUGAAUCAGUUCACUGUUGCGUCUGUGACAUGGGUUAAUUUUGAUGAUGUGGAGGUAAUCAAGGCCAAAGUUUCUUAUGCAAAGGAAAAUGGGCUACUUGGUUACAAUGUGUUCCAACUAAGCAAUGACAACAAUUGGGAACUUUCGAGGGCAGCAAUUCUUCAGCUCAAGAAGUAGAUGAAGAUCAUCACAAGAGGAGGUUGGCGAGAACUUGUGCUUGCAACUCUGACUUUGGCGCUUCUAUUGGGUAUUGUGCCUUGCUACUUCCAUCGAGCAGCAGAAAAAGAUAUCGAAGGAAACGCUUCUGAUCUGAUAGUAUUCGGUUAUCUCACUAUUAAAGUGGCAACAAAUAACUUCUCAAAAGAUAAUAGGCUCGGAGAGGGUGGAUUUCGUACAGUGUACAAGGGCAAAUUACGGAGGGGUCAGGAAAUAGCUGUAAGAAGACUCUCAGAAACCUCCAAUCAAGGCCUUGAAGAGUUUCAGUCUUUCAGAAUGAGAUCACACUUACAGCAAGAAUACAACAUGUGAAUUUGGUUAGACUACUGGGUUACUGCACAAAAAGGGAUGAGAAGAUUCUGAUCUAUGAAUACCUGCCAAAUAAAAGCUUGGAUCAUUUUCUCUUUGAUCCAAGGAAAUCAGUUCUCUCAAGACUGGAACAAGCGUGUCAAUAUCAUUGAAGGCAAUACUCAAGGCCUUUUUUAUCUCCAAGAGUACUCAAAUUUUACCAAUCUUAAUGCUAGUAAUGUUUUGCUAGAUCAUGACAUGAAUCUGAAGAUAUCAGAUUUUGGAAUAGUUAGACUUUUCAAGAAAUAUGACCUGGAAGCAAACACAUAAGAUUGUUGAAACAUAUGGGUAUGUACCUCCCGAGUAUAUGAGAAAAGGCAUAUACUCAACGAAGUUCGAUGUUUAUAGCUUUGGAGUUCUUCUCUUGCAAAUCAUAAGUGGAAAGAGGACUUCUUGUUAUUAUGGCGCACGUGAAACUGUGAAAGUAUCACCCUUUUGGAAUAUGCAUAUGAACUAUGGAGGGAAGGUAGAGGUGUGGAGUUUGUUGAGCCGUCAUUGGAUGAUACAACAUUACCUUGUAAAAGCAUGAGAUGCAUGCAGGUGGCUUUGUUGUGCGUUCAAGAGAACUCUGCGGAUAGAUCCUCCAUGUUGGAGGUUGAUUCUAUGCUGAAGAAUGAAGGUGCAGCUAUUGGUACUCCCAAAAUGCUUGCAUUUUCAGUUAAUAAGAAACAUGCAGAUAAGGAGGAAACAUCUCACAGCGGGAUCAAAUAUUCUUCAAUAAAUGAUGUUACAAUUUCUCAACUGGCACCAAGAUGAUGGAGCAGGACAUUCCUGUACUUAAACUAUUAAUCAAGUCAUUUCAGGUUAUUUUUUAUUUGAGAUUUAUAAAUAUACUUUAAUCUAAGGUGACAAUCAGGCCAUUUAAUUGAGGAACACUAUAAUCUAAGGAACAUCAAUUCAU